rnacentral:rRNA from 1 species
GAUGAACGCUGGCGGCGUGCCUAAUACAUGCAAGUCGAGCGAACAGACGAGAAGCUUCCUCCUCUGACGUUAGCGGCGGGCGGGUGAGUCACACGUGGGUAACCUACCUAUAAGCCUGGUAUGACUGCGGGAAACCGGAGCUAAUACCGUAUAAUAUAUUGAACCGCAUGGUUCAAUAAUGAAAGACGGGUUUGCGGUCACUUAUAGAUGUAUCCGCGCGGCGUUAGCGAGUUGGUAAGGUAACGGCUUACCAGGGCAACGAUGCGUAGCCGGCCUGAGAGGGUGAUCGGCCACACUGGAAUGGAGACACGGAUCAGACUCGUACGGCAGGCAGCAGUAGGGAAUCUUGCGGCAUGGGCGAAAGCCUGACGGAGCAACGAAGCGUGAGUGAUGAAGGUCUUCGGAUCGUAAAACUCUGUUAUUAGGGAAGAACAAAUGUGUAAGUAACUAGGCACGUCUUGACGGUACCUAAUCAGAAAGCCACGGCUAACUACGUG